UACGAAGGGGGCUAGCGUUGCUCGGAAUCACUGGGCGUAAAGGGUGCGUAGGCGGGGCUUUAAGUCAGGGGUGAAAUCCUGGAGCUCAACUCCAGAACUGCCUUUGAUACUGAAGAUCUUGAGUUCGGGAGAGGUGAGUGGAACUGCGAGUGUAGAGGUGAAAUUCGUAGAUAUUCGCAAGAACACCAGUGGCGAAGGCGAGUCUCUGGACGACUCCUGACACUGAGGCACGAAAGCUAGGGGAGCAAACAGG
rnacentral:rRNA from 1 species